ACCGCGUUAGCUCAGUUGGUAGAGAAUUGGAUUUGUAAUUCAAGGGUCACGGGUUCGAUACCCGUUUAAGCCAGACAUGGUC